GCGUGAGUGAUGAAGGCCCUAGGGUUGUAAAGCUCUUUCACCGGUGAAGAUAAUGACGGUAACCGGAGAAGAAGCCCCGGCUAACUUCGUGCCAGCAGCCGCGGUAAUACGAAGGGGGCUAGCGUUGUUCGGAAUUACUGGGCGUAAAGCGCACGUAGGCGGAUUGUUAAGUGAGGGGUGAAAUCCCAGGGCUCAACCCUGGAACUGCCUCUCAUACUGGCAAUCUUGAGUAUGGAAGAGGUGAGUGGAAUUCCGAGUGUAGAGGUGAAAUUCGU
rnacentral:rRNA from 1 species